rnacentral:rRNA from 1 species
GGGGGAACCCUGAUCCGCCAUGCCGCGUGAGUGAUGAAGGCCUUCGGGUUGUAAAACUCUUUCGACGGGGACGAUAAUGACGGUACCCGUAGAAGAAGCUCCGGCUAACUUCGUGCCAGCAGCCGCGGUAAUACGAAGGGGGCUAGCGUUGUUCGGAAUUACUGGGCGUAAAGCGCGCGCAGGCGGCCUUUCAAGUCAGGGGUGAAAGCCCAGAGCUCAACUCUGGAACUGCCUUUGAAACUGACAGGCUUGAGUACGGGAGAGGUGAGUGGAAUUCCCAGUGUAGAGGUGAAAUUCGUAGAUAUUGGGAAGAACACCGGUGGCGAAGGCGGCUCACUGGCCCGUUUCUGACGCUCAGGCGCGACAGCGUGGGGAUCAAACAGGAUUAGAUACCCUGGUAGUCCACGCCGUAAACUAUGAACGCUAGCCGUUGGCAGGCUUGCCUGUCAGUGGCGCAGCUAACGCAUUAAGCGUUCCGCCUGGGGAGUACGGCCGCAAGGUUGAAACUCAAAAGAAUUGACGGA